GCUACCAUGCAGUCGAGCGGCAGCGGGUCCUUCGGGAUGCCGGCGAGCGGCGGACGGGUGAGUAAUGCCUAGGAAUCUGCCUGGUAGUGGGGGAUAACUCGGGGAAACUCGAGCUAAUACCGCAUACGUCCUACGGGAGAAAGUGGGGGAUCUUCGGACCUCACGCUAUCAGAUGAGCCUAGGUCGGAUUAGCUAGUUGGUGAGGUAAAGGCUCACCAAGGCGACGAUCCGUAACUGGUCUGAGAGGAUGAUCAGUCACACUGGAACUGAGACACGGUCCAGACUCCUACGGGAGGCAGCAGUGGGGAAUAUUGGACAAUGGGCGAAAGCCUGAUCCAGCCAUGCCGCGUGUGUGAAGAAGGUCUUCGGAUUGUAAAGCACUUUAAGUUGGGAGGAAGGGCAGUAAGUUAAUACCUUGCUGUUUUGACGUUACCAACAGAAUAAGCACCGGCUAACUUCGUGCCAGCAGCCGCGGUAAUACGAAGGGUGCAAGCGUUAAUCGGAAUUACUGGGCGUAAAGCGCGCGUAGGUGGUUCAGCAAGUUGGAGGUGAAAUCCCCGGGCUCAACCUGGGAACUGCCUCCAAAACUACUGGGCUAGAGUAUGGUAGAGGGUGGUGGAAUUUCCUGUGUAGCGGUGAAAUGCGUAGAUAUAGGAAGGAACACCAGUGGCGAAGGCGACCACCUGGACUAAUACUGACACUGAGGUGCGAAAGCGUGGGGAGCAAACAGGAUUAGAUACCCUGGUAGUCCACGCCGUAAACGAUGUCGACUAGCCGUUGGGAUCCUUGAGAUCUUAGUGGCGCAGCUAACGCGAUAAGUCGACCGCCUGGGGAGUACGGCCGCAAGGUUAAACUCAAAUGAAUUGACGGGGGCCCGCACAAGCGGUGGAGCAUGUGGUUUAAUUCGAANCAACGCGAANAACCUUACCUGGCCUUGACAUGCUGAAAACUUUCCANAAAUGGAUUGGUGCCUUCNGGAACUCAAACACAGGUGCUGCAUGGCUGUCNUCACCUCNUGUCCUGAAAUGUUGGGUUAAAUCCCNUANCNAGCCCAACCCNUNGUCCUUANUUACC
rnacentral:rRNA from 1 species